rnacentral:lncRNA from 1 species
AUGCCUAUAGUUCUAUUACAAAUUCUGCAUAUUCAAAUACAUAUAGAAAUUAUGCCUAUAGGUUUAUUACAAUCCUGCAUAUUCAAUUACCUAUAGAAGUCAUGCUUAUAGGUUUAUUCCAAUUCUGCAUACAUAGAAAUCAUGUUCAUAUGUUUUAAAACAAAUUCUGCAUUUUUAGAUAUCAUGCCUAUAGGUUCAAAAUGAUUCCUGCAUUAGAUACCAUGCCUAUAGGUUCGAGAACAAGCUUCUGCACCUAGAUGCUACAUUUAAAAUCAGCAUUGUAUAGAAAGCAUGCCUACGCUAUUUAUUAAAUUCAGCCCCUCUUUAAUAAUCUGAGUCCCUCGCUUAACCAAAGUUUAGCAAGCAUAUCUAUAGGAUUUUUAAAUAACCCGUCUUGAGUUUUAAUGUCUUAUUACCUUCCAAAUUCAGUAGAUAUCAUGCCUAUAGGACCCCGACUUAUCACUUAGGUAAGCCUUAGGAUAAUAACUAUUAAAAAGUGAGUCUGCUUCUGUUAACUAUUACAACCGGCAGGCAGGCCUGAUUCGAGCUUCUUAUAUGAAUUAUGUAAUAAACCAUGUCUGCCACAAUUUUUAAACUCUCUCAUAUUUGGUAUUUAAUCAGACCUAAACAAUAUGUGAAAGUCAUGAUAAUUAUGUGUUUUUUUUCUAUUCAAGGAGGUAUAGCUGAGCCUCUCUUUGUUUAUAUGAUUCCUCCUAAAAAUGUGCAAUAUGUGUUUUUGUUUGGCGCCUUAGAGUUUUUACCUUUUUAAAUCCCAAACAAGCCUGAGUUACUUCCCGUUAGGAUUAGUAGCCUAAGUGCCUCCGGGACUGAUAGAGUGGGACGGGUAAAAUCAUGCAACAAGUAAUCGAGACCAAUCCGCACUUUAGUACCUUAACGGGGUUGGAAGGGUAGACGUGUAUAUGAUGACCACGCGAUAAUGUCACGUGUAGCCCCUAUUUGAGAAGUGAUUACCAGACAUUGUGUGGGGUAAUCCAUAUUUUUCGUAAACCUAGGACCCAUUCCCUUUAUUCUUUACUUCUUUUUAGCCUUUUUAAUCAUCUUUUUUAAAUUGCUCUUUCAAAUCUUGUUUACUUCUAAACCAUUAUGUGUUGAAAUCCCCUCUUAUUUGAGCCUUAUUUGUUUAUAUGUAACUAUACCCAAAUUCUCAAUAAACCUUCCCCUUAAAAUAAUUUCAAGCCCUUACCCAAUCUCUUGUUAUUCAAAUCAAACCCAUAUGGUGUCUUAAUGCACCCUAAUCAUUAGGUGGAGACUCUUCAAGUGCAAACUCAGUUCCCAAAAGGAAGGAGUUAUCCCUCCAAGUGUCAUAAACCUGAUUUUGCGAGAAAAAGGGGGCGCAAUAGCAUGACGACUCUGCUGGGGAUUUUUUUGGCUUUUACCAUUUCAGACUAUUUUUUUGAAUUUAUGCUUCUUUAUGCACAAUUAUUUGUUUAUUUCUUUUAAGCAUUAAAUUUCCUUUUCGAUUGUAAAACCGACUUGUCGCCUUUUUUCUUUUCUUUACCUCUUUCCUACUGCUUUAAAUUAUGGAAUUGUUGUACUUACUGCUUUCUUAACAUGCAAAUACAUGACAAUAUGCCUUUAAUUGUCGCAUAAUCAUAAUAAACAACAUAUUUCACUUGUGCCAAACAAAUCCUAUAGAAACGCUUAUAAUGAGUGGUUGGGCUCUUCCGAUAUUAUCACCCCCUAAAUUCGAAAAGGCAUAUUUGCGGUAAAAUUAGUCGAUCAAGGGUGUAGUCGAUGGUUCCUUGCCUUCCCCAUUCAGUUGUCCGCUCAAGGGUACUAGUGUAAAACCCCAUAUAAACCUUACUCUAUUUAAAUUGUGCAUGCAUCAUAGUCAAAC